rnacentral:rRNA from 1 species
GACGAACGCUGGCGGCGUGCUUAACACAUGCAAGUCGUACGGUAAGGCCCUUUCGGGGGUCCACGAGUGGCGAACGGGUGAGUAACACGUGAGUAACCUGCCCACAACUUUGGGAUAACGCUAGGAAACUGGUGCUAAUACUGGAUAUGUGCUCCUGCCGCAUGGUGGGGGUUGGAAAGCUCCGGCGGUUGUGGAUGGACUCGCGGCCUAUCAGCUUGUUGGUGGGGUAGUGGCCUACCAAGGCGGCGACGGGUAGCCGGCCUGAGAGGGUGACCGGCCACAUUGGGACUGAGAUACGGCCCAGACUCCUACGGGAGGCAGCAGUGGGGAAUAUUGCACAAUGGGCGCAAGCCUGAUGCAGCAACGCCGCGUGCGGGAUGACGGCCUUCGGGUUGUAAACCGCUUUCAGCAGGGACGAAGCUUUUUGUGACGGUAUCUGCAGAAGAAGCACCGGCUAACUACGUG